AGAGCAGGAUGAAGAUGGAGAUGAGUCAAUUGUGGAGGAGGAUGGAGGAGGGAUGCUGUGAAUGAAAACACUUCAUCAACAUCAGCAGCAGGAGAGGAGUCAGAUCAAAACACUCAGAAAAACCUGAAACGUCAUGGACAUUUCGGUCUCAAUUCAC